GAUAUGUUGGCUGAUAAAGGAUAUCUUCUGUAGGAACAGAUAAUCAAGCUAAGCACACAGGAUGACUGCCCAAGAAGCAAGUGACCGCAAUGGUGAAGCUGGGCCUCCACCCUGCCGUCUGGCUGACUUCAAGGCCUGCACAGCCUCUUAAGCCGCAUCCUGCUUGCUGCCUCCAAGCUUUCCUGACUGCAGCCUUUUCUCCAGUCACUUUUGAUAGAGGAGUUAAGAAGAAAUUACUUAGGCAGAUAGUGAGGGUAUGGAAGUCCUCGGUAAGGUUUUCCUUUUAAUGAAAAGCAGCCCCAAAUCAUUUUCCUUUCUAACAAACAGCAGCCUGUAAAAUCAAGCUGCAGACAUAGAUGCCGGCAGUUGUGCCAAUCAUGUUCAGAAUGGUGGCUCCCUUCUCCCUUCUCUGCCAGCCAUAUGUACAGUAAGGAGCAGACAACAUGGCUCGGGCCAAGGGUAAAGUUGAUUUGCAUAAUAAGAUUAGGGUGGGGCCCACCAGCCUUCCCCUGCACUAUGUAAACAUCACGCCUGACUGAACCAAUCUGUGAGCCCUAUGUAAAUCAGACAAUGCCUUCUCAAGCCUGACUAUAAAAUCCUGUGAGUCCACUGCCAGCCAGUCUUUCCUCUGGGAAGCCCCUCUCUCUCCCUAGAGAGAGCUGGUUUCCUUUCUCCUUUCUUUUUCUUUUGCAUAUUAAACUUCCACUCCUAAACUCCUCAUGUGUGUCCCUAUCCUAAAUUUUCUUGGUGCGAGACAAUGAACCAUGGGUAUUCACCCCACACAACGUAGCCUCUUCACUUUCUUCUUAAAUUUACCCAGACUGACCUUUCUAAUUCCCUGAGGCCACUUCUCAUUUUCCUGCUUCAGAACCAGCAGGAACUCCUGAGUGAAGUCCGAAUUCCUCUGCCGGACUUUUACCAUUUCUCUGUGAUCUGGCCUAAUGUGGACAAGUCUGUAUUUCCGCGCUGCAGGCCCUUCUCUGCAGCGGGGUGGUCAGCACUUGGCCUCCUUUGUGUCUCAAGCUGCGAGGCUCCCUCCCCCUUCAGCCUCUUGGCUUCACUCUAGUUUCAGUCUUCUGUGCUUUAUCGUUUCUCAUGCUGCACUCAGGCGCCUC
rnacentral:lncRNA from 10 species